CUCCAAACAGCAUCCUUCCAGACUUUGUUGUGAUCAUUCAUCUUUUGGGCUUUUGGAUGAACGCAGCAUCACCUCCAGGCCAUCCUAUCAAAAACCUGCUCAGGGAUUUAGCUCAGUGGUUCUGCAGCCUGCCUCACAAGCACAAGGUCCCAAGUUCAGAUCCCCAGUACCAAAAAAAACACCAACAACAAAGAAAUCUGCUCAAGGGUCUUGUUUUGUAGUUCAGCCUGGCCUUGAACUCACUAUGCAGCCCAGGUGGCCUUGAACUCAUGGCGAUCCCCUGCAUCAGCCUCAGGAGUGCUGGGAUUCUAGGUAGACAGUAUGAGCUCAGUGACCCUCAUCUGCUUUCUUCCUCACAGUAUUCCUAGCACCGGAGCACAUGGGAGGCACGCAGUAAAUCCUUAUUAAAUGGAAGUGGAAUGUUUAAAUGCCUCACUGUCGCUCUUGUGUGAGAAACUGAAAGUGGAAAUAAGGACCAAAAUGUAUAAUAGAUAUUGGGAAAUGGGAAGAAAAUGUUCAAAUGGGAAG
rnacentral:lncRNA from 1 species